CGCGAUUAUUUCCGGUGAUUAUCCGGCGGAGUUCAACCCGAAGAUCCACGGACCUUACGAUCCUGUCCGUUACUACGGCAAG
rnacentral:lncRNA from 1 species